GCGGCGCCCGCCCCCGCUUCUCAGAAGCCCGGCUCUCACCACUACCGGCCUUCUGCGAGGCCGGGCGCCGUGGCUCUGCUGGCGGGUACCCGCCCCUUCUUUUCACUGGAAUCCCCUGGUUUUGGCUAUUUACAGCCUUUUCUUAGAGAGAGGCAGGAAGCUGAAUGAAUCAGAGCCAUCUACGGUUACCUCCUGAACCACGUGCUUGUGUUAUGGGGCUGAGGUGGACCAGAGGGGAGAUGCGCAGAAGCCUCCUCCAUCCUGGGGCUGGGAUCUGCAGGUCUCUGGGGCAGGGAGAAGCCCGGCUGCCCUCUCAACCCAUGGGAGAGUGGAGCCAUGUCAGCCUCUCCAGAGGGAGACAGAGCAGGGAUGUAGGACUGCAGAGGGCCGCAGAGAGGAGAGGCCUCAGGGCAAACCUGUGUGUCCUCUCCACCGGUUGCCUGUGCUAAUCCUGAGCACAUAGGAGCACAGGUGGGAGGGAGGAAGUGCUUCAGGGUAAGACGGGCUGUUUCCACGGAAAACUAAAAAGCACACACUCCUCAGAAUGAGCGCACUGUAUACGAAAACACCGCCUGUCUUGUCAGAGGAAGUGUAUCUUUUUGCUCUUCUCUCACACCUGGUUUACAUGCAACACAAAAUGCUAGCAAGCCCUGCAGCGUGUUCCUUGGGGACAGGCCUUCUUCAUGCCCAAACCUUGAAGGAUACAUGAAGGAGGCAGCGGCAGCUUAAAGCUACUUCUCCCCAGCAAAGACACAAACCCACAGAGCAAGGACAAGCUGUUCCUUUGCGCAAGGGAAUCAGGGUUAACAUCUUUGCUGCCCAUCAGAUAGAAGAGGCCCCCUCUGAACUGAGAUGAUGCAUUUGUGGGCUUGCUUCUGUUAGCCCUGCUGUCAGACGGAUGGGAAAGCAGGCAGGGGAAGAUGAGAUGGCUGGCUGGCAUCUGAGCAGCAGGGAAGCCACAAGUAGCUGUUGUGAAGGUGCUUGGCCCCUGACACCCAAGUGGGCCACACAGAGCUGGCAGGAACCCUCUACCACAGGUACCAGGCCCAGCAGAGAACCAGAGGCCUCUGCAGCCAUGCAAGUGCACGAGCUACAAGGAGAGCCAGGUCCUUUGUGCCAACACAAGGAGCCGACGGGUGUGCUGGGAGGACGAGAACAACGCGUCCUUUGUGUGUCUCAUGUGAAAUUGCAAAACAAAGUACACGUCUUCUCUUUUCCUUAAGGGGAAAAAAGUAUCUGUCAGUUACAGCAACAGGACAUCCAAAAAUACCUUCUCCAGACAGAAGAACAUUAAAUUUGCAAAGGCCAGUGCACCAAACAUAGAAGAUGCCAGAACUGAGGCUGCUGUUCAAGCCCAGAGGAAGUGGGCAGUACCAGUGAAGGACAGACACUGUACUUCAUUGAUGGAGGACUGGAUUCCCGGGUCUCCUCUGGUCACUGGGCACUGCUAUGGAGUAAAGAACAAAUCCAAACACUUCCUCCAGCAGCAGGGGACCAGCAGGGAGAGGCGAAAGCAAGCAGCACCAAUUCAGUGGACUGUGGCCUCUCUUGAAUCAAAGCUCCACUUGGUCCCAGCAGGAAAAAAAACAACCAAAGCUCAGCAGCCAGUUCGGUACCAUCUUACUUUAGUUUUACAGCAGUUCAAUUCUACUACUUGAAAGCAGGCAAGCACUUCCCUUAUGCAUCAGAUUGUUUUUUCUUUUUUGGGAAGGGAAAAUGGAAAGAGAAAAUGAAAUACUCGUUACUGAUAACCCACAGUGUGGAGACAUUUUAUGGGAGUUACAUUACAUAAAACACAGCACCCAAGGCAAUGUUUUGGUCUUUACUGAACAAAUGCAGCAGAAGAUGCAUUUUAUGAGCACCAAAAAUAUCAAGCUAUACUAUUUAGAACUUGCACUCACAUAUUUCUGCAUUGUGAAUGCAGUCAAAAUAGUUUGGGUUGUCAAUUGCUUGGCCCCAAUACUAAUUCUGAAACUAAAUAUCUGUGCUUACAAACAAACCAAAAUAUUCUGGCAACCCAAACUCAUGCAGCUACGCAGAGUGUACAGCCUUUAUUUUCUUAAUCUAGCCUGCCUCCCAGUAACCGACUGCCUCGAUAGAAAGGUGUCUUGUUUGGAAAUUCAACAUGAGCGUCCUUCUGGAAAAGUGUAUCUUCCAUUUGUGGGUCAAAGGAAAGGUUCUGUUUUGAAGUUUCAUUUCUGUGGUUUCAGUGUAUCACAGGGUGUGAUUUAUUAGAAAAAUACGAACGGCGAUAGAAAUUAAAUUUCCGAUGACCUUUCACUGCAAGGAACAGCAAUUUCACAAUGCAUUCCUGAUUAGAAAAGAACAUCAACUGACCCUCAUGCUGGUAGCUGAGCAAUCUACAAGAUCAUGGGAUUCUUUUUUUUUUUCACUUAAAAAAAACCGCACACAAAAACAUAAACACAAGUCUACACUUGUGUUCCCAAGUGGAAAAUGUCUAAGGAGCUUAUUUACUGACUCAAAGGCAAAGGAAAGAUCCCUUAGCCCUGUAGCCAGUUUUAGGAACUUUCAGGUUUUUCUUGGCAAAAGCUCAAAUGCAACACCGAUGCCUUGCUUUAGUCAACACGAUUUCUGUUAGGCUUACCUGCUUUGUGAAUUGGGUAAUUGUUUGGCCUUAUUACUACCAAACAGUUAUUUUAAAUAGUAAUCCUUACAGUUAACGAAAUGACAGCAGAGGCCUUGGCUUAGAUAUGCACCAGGAAGAGAGCAUUUUCUUAGAAAAGCACAGUUCUCAGUAAAUGAUAAACCACAGAGCUACUGCUGUGCACAUUAAACCACAAAGCUACAUUCAUAUAGAAUUAAGGGUCUUAAAUCCCACCUCCACCUUUCUUUCCUAGCUUCUGCCAUCCAAAAGCAUGGAUUUACAUCUAGUAUUCUGACACCCAGCACAACUUUUCGACCCACCCUAUUAAGCAUCCACCUUACAGCCACAUGAGAUGGAAGACCUUUUUCCAUAUGCCUGUUUAAUUUAAGGCAUCUGAAAUGUCUCCACCACGUAUUAUUACUGAUCUUUUGGGUUACAGUUGUGCCAAGAGGCCCUGCUGUGCCAGAGUCAUAGCAAAGUAAGAGUCUCUGCCUGGCAGGGCGACAGCUCAGUGCAACCACAGAGACACAGGGAGUCAGCCAGAGGAAGCAAGUGUUGUGAUCCCAAACACAUAUGGGGGAAAUAAAUCAUUCACCAAAACAAGAAAGCAUCCCAGAACACAGUUCAGGAAUACGUUUAAAAUGCCCCACAUUUGGCCCUGAGCAGAGACCAUUGGGAUUGGCGAUCUCCCCAAGCCCUAGUUUGCCUGGGCCACGCGCUGUGCUGCUGCUAGGCUAGCCAGGCCAUCAUGGGCUCACUUGUUUUUUUCCAGUGGAGAAGUAUGAACAGUGUGUACAGUGUGCUGGCAUCCAAAGCCAGGUCCCUGCGAGCUAAGCGAGUACAAAACACAUUUGACAAAGCAGCUUCUGUCCUGGGUGAAGGGCAAGGCUCGUCAAAUGCGACAAUAAAACAACCCGUGGAGACGUUUUUCUGUGCCUGAUGUAACAAACUGCCUGGAAUGCUACCUUUGUGGGUUGUUUUCCCUAUUUCAGUUCGGCAAGAAGAAAUGGGACUUAAUAGCACUGCACCUGUGUGGUGUGAACCAUAUCUAAGCUCUAUAUACAGAGACAGUUCUCAAGAGAAAGCGACUGGUGGAGCACAUCCCACACUCCUCCAGACUUAUGUAUUUCUGAACCCUUCCCGUGGAGUACUGGAGGAGGAGAAAAAGGGCACACGGGCCUUGCGUGAGCACAGCCUUCAGACACUGCUGAAGACCUGCUAGCAUAUGGGAGUGUUUUAAGAGCAAUGCAGAGCUUUUUAGGUGCCUUAAAAUCCUCUUAGUCAGUCUAGGUUUAAACCUGCUUUCACAUAGGAAAGGUAGCUGAAGGCAAACAGCACCUUUCAAUGAAGCUUUUAUUAGCAGGGCAUCUUGGCAUGCAAGGGGCAAUGUGUUCCAUUGAGCAAGCUCCACCAUCAACCCAAAGCUGCACGGAUUUUGUCAUCCUCCAGCCGACAAAGGAAAGUCUCAGGACCCCGUGACUAGAGGAAGAGGUUCCAGGUGGUGACAACUGGAUAGUUUCUGGCCUUCGCUAUUAGCUGAGUAUCAGGAUUUUGCCAUAAGUCCAAAAGAAUUGAAAGCUGUCUAAGUACUUCGCCAGUAAAAGCCAAGACACAUUUUUCAGGGUAAAGUGGCCACAGGUUGCAACAAAUCCUCAGAAGCACUGCUGGUAUUUUCCCUGAACGUAUUUGCAAUUUCGGGUAUUAUCUGACUCAAAGUGACAACUCCCUGAACCAUACUGGUACAGAGUAACUCAGGAUAUCCAGGCAGAUUGUGUCAAGUUCAUGCAGUUCACAAAGCAAACAGCGAUUUUCCUCCUCUUAACCCAACUGAUCCAAUGGGGCACCUGUUAUCAAGUGAAGUCAAACAUGAGGGUCUGGGCUGAAGGUAGAAGUGGUUGUUUGACCAAGGUUGAACAGGCCAAAAUGCUCCAUACUGCAAUUUCCAGACUGCAGAGGAGAGAGGCAAAUGUGAACUAAAAGUACUUAAAUGUCCCAGUGUGGAAAUAAGAAAAUGUAACUCUGGUACUGAUGACUUCUUUAUUAAUAAUGUAUUAACUGGCGGGAGGAGAGGAACAUUUCUGUCACAUAUCUCAGGGAAUGCAGCAUUAUGCUGGAAAUAUAAAUGCUGCUUGAAUAACCCUUGCUACACUUAAAGGGAUUUCUGUUUGGGCUAAUUAACUAACUUUUCCCCCCAGGCACUGACUUAUGUAAGUGCUUUCAAUAACACAGAAGACAAUGAGUGAAACAGUCAUUGUGCUUUGUAAACUCAUGUGCCCUAUAACCCCCUACUAUGAGACAUUGUGGACAAGUUUUAUUCCCCGAUUUGCUCAUGCAGCUCCCACUGAAGUCAGUGAGAGCCCAGUUUGUGCUUCUCAAAGAAGAUUUUCCCCUAUAAUGUCUAACUGCAGUGAGCGUGAAACAAAUCCACACUUUUAGAAACGUGGUGACUGGAAAAAUGCACUAAGUAUUUUUAGAAGGCAGUUAGGAGGACGCUCCAAAUCUCUGGGUUUUAAGUGGCUCAGCUCUAAUUUAUGAAGCAAGAGUCUGGCGAGAAGAACAAAAGUAUGUGGAUUUACCUAUUGUACAUCUUGUGAUUAGUUUUUAAAUGGAAAAACAGGUGAAAGAUACUCGAUUUUGGAAUAAAACUAUUCCAGUCAAGGGUUUACGCAAACUCAAUGGGUCCUGAAACACUUCAAGGCAUUACUUAACACGAAGGUACUGUUUUAAUGUUAUAUUGCCACACACUCGGCAAUUACCAUUAAAAAAUCUGCCUUUUUUGAUACUGCACAAGGGAACAUGCACACAUCCCAUUUAUUCAAAAUAAAUUAGAAGAGAAAAAGAAAGUGCCAGAAAGAAACUAGCAAUUAAAAGGUGGGAAAAGGAAGAACAAGACCUCCCAGUUGUGGCUCCAACACUGCAUGUUGCACAGAGCAGGCCAUGGGAGCAGGACUGGCUGUCGACAGCAGCUUCAGAUGAUGGAGUAACCAAUUACUCUGCCACUCUGAUGAGCUGGCAUCUAAGACAAAGAGUUUAAUUGCUGCAUCAAAUUAGGGGAACUCCCAGAUAUAAAUGUAAGAGUGGCUUACAUCUGCAGAAGAGUUGAAAUGCAAGUGCCUGGGAAAGUGAUGGGUUCCUUUUCAAGAACUGGUCUUAGGCAGAAGAUAUGUGGAGAAACGUGAAAUGGAAAAUACCAAUGGAGUUGUAACAAAAGCCCUCCUGAUGAGAUCACAUUAGCUGUAGGAGUAAAACCACUACCACUAGAUGCAUACACAAUUUCACUAGACUGUCAUAGAUGUCUUGCACCCUAGGUCGCAAUCAUUUCUAGUAAGAGCUUUCUCUGCAAUAGAUGAGUAGACACGAGGGAGCAAGGUACUGGUACUCAAAUGCUCCCACUACUGAAAGUGAACGCGUAACAUAGCAGAGGAUUUUUAUUUCACGCUAGAAGGAGGCAAGUUUAACAGAAGCCACCACACCAUAAGCCUUUUCUGUGAAUGGUACUGAUUUUGCACAGAGCAAAGGAGGUGAUUUCACCUCUCUGUUCAGGUAUUAAUAGAGAAGGCUUCUGGAGGAAGAGCUACCCGGACAUUGCUAGAAACCCUAGCGGCUUGGUUUUAUUCCACCCAGUACUCCUGCUUCUGAAUAUUCCUUCCUUAACCAUGCUGCUGGCUGUUUGUCGAAAACUCAUCUCCUGGAACUGGGGCAACCAAAAGCCCAAAUCCGUAUCCCUCCCUCUGACUCCACUUUGCACUGAGAAUACAUGGCUUCAAGAGUGUUCAUGAAGGGAUUUUUUUCCUCUCUGGCUUACACAGUGAAUGGCAGAGCUCCGAGUCUGAAUAAACAGUGUGGGUGGUGACUGCUCUGUGAGGCCCAUGUAAAGGAUGCAAUCAUUUUCUUACUCUGUUCAGCAUUAAAUCAUGUGAAACUAGCUUGAUUACCACACAUAACAUUGACUCUGUUACAGACUAUAACAUACCGUGUAUCCUCUCCUAACUUUGCAGGGAAAAAAAUAACAAUUAAUUCUCCCAGCUUCAAGUGUUUAAUUGUGUAUAAAGUUCAUUGACCUCACUAGUUGCUGUCAGAUGAUCUUGCUAAGGCCUGUGAAAAACAUCCCAGGAAUGCAGUGAUGUGGGCAGAAACAAAGUGAGUUCAUGCCACAAAAUGCUUUAAAUGGAACAAAAUCAGCAACCAUCCAGAGAGACUGCACUGAAAACAGAACUUCAGAAUAAUCACUGCUUUAACCUCACCUAAGCACUGCUAGUCCUUGAAAAAGGGACUGUUAUAAAUCAGACUCUUUGAAAAAUAAAUCCUUCGGGGAUCCCACAUGUGACUACAUGAAGUAACCUUGUUUACUGGUGAAUCUCUGCAGCUGACUGGGAGUCAAUGCUUUGGAAUGAUUGGGACAUGCAGGAGACAAGCUGGGAACAGGGAACCUGUUCCUACACUGCGUCCAAUUCCCACCAAAUGUGACCAUAGAUAAGUCACUUAGCCACUGUGCGACUCGAUUUCUUCUGCUAUAAAAAUGGAAAUAGGACUGCUUAUCUACACGCAUGUUUGUGGUGCUCUUUUUUUUUUUUUUUUUUUUCAGGGAAACCACUGUCAACAGGAGGAGUUAUCACACAUUUGACACGUAUGUGAGUUUUCAUACUGCACUGUUUUUAACGGCUCUGCUGAGCUGUAGCACAGGAAGUCUCUUCCUGAAUGGCUCCAAAGCAGCUUCUUGCAAUGCUUAUUUCUUACGAUACGACUAAGGAAUAAAUAAAAUCAGUAUGAAUUCUGUAGGUUGUGCCCAUUAAAAUACACACUGCUUCCGCUACAUACUUUUCACAAUUGACUUAUAUAAUUUCAGAAGGAUGUCACAGCCUAAUUUUCUCAGGAAGCUGUUUAUGAACCACUGAUUAGAUGAUAGCUUUCCUUAAGCCCUAAAUCUUAGCAAAAGUCUAAAGCACAUCUGCUGAAUCUCUACUAGUGAUGUCUUUGAGACAGAGGCUGGGACUGCCUAUGGGCUUGGAUAGAAUCCUGGUGGUCUCUGUUGAGCCUCGAGGUGAUGCAAGUGAAGGAGCCUUGCAUCCCACCAGGCCUGCCAGUGUAGCGGUCAGUUAAGUGGAGGUCCCUGCUGAAGAGCUCAUGGUGUUUCUGGUGUUCUUGUUGGCGCCUCUUGCAAAGCCUCAUCAUGCAAACUGAGUUCAGAGUUCAUCCAAAUGAGUCUCACAGCAGAGAAAUUCUUCAACACUGUCUCCCCAUUCUCUUUCCUUCCUCUUGCCCUGUCCCUGGAUGCAUCCAAGGCCAGGCUGGAUGUGACUCUUGACAGCCUGGUCUAGUGGUUGGUGACCCUGCCCAUGGCAUUGGGGUUGAAACUAGAUGAUCGUUAUGGUCCUUUUCAACCCAGGCCAUUCUGUGAUUCUGUGAUCCUGUGAUUCUAUGAUUCCAUGAUUCUUUUCUCCAAGAAGGAGCCAUGAGGACAUGACGAGGCUCGUAGACAGCUACAGGGUGACAGAACAGCUGGCCUGAAGAGACAUGCUAAGAAAAGACCCUCUCUACUUUGAAGGGUAAAACAGAGAUGUUGACAAAUUAGAGGGCUGGGCAAUCACCGAUCACAUAAAGUUCAACAUGAGCAAGUGCUCGAUUCUGCAACUGGGACAGAGCAAACAUGCAUAUACUUAUAGACUGGGAGAUGAGACACAGGACAGCAGUCCCACUGAAAGGGAUGUGGGGAUUCUGGCUGGCAGCAAGUUGUAUCUGAGCCAGCAGUGUGCCCUGGCAGCUCAAAGGACCAACUGUACCCUGGGGUGCACCAGGCCCAGAACUGCCACUGGGCAACUGCCACUGGCAGCUGCACCUCCAGCACGGGGUGCAGGGUUGGGUGCCACAAUAUGCUGACAUAUUGGAAUGUUCUCUCAAACAACAAGACGACAAAAUGGGGUUUCUGCAGCUGCAAAUAACAAUGUUUUGCUGGCACAGGUCCAGCUCUGAAUACAGCAAGUCCUCAGCCUUUGACUGUUAGGUGUACUUCAUGCCUCCUCAUUUUGAAGUAAUGGACCCGGAAAGUCUGUACCAAGUGACUCUGUAAGGUCAACUUCUGGAUGUGCGUGUGCUGUUACAGCUUCACCAUGUUCAACAGAGCUGUACUGGUUAGAAUCCCUUCAAUAUCUACACCACAAUCCCAAUUUUGGUGCUCCUUCAACAUAUUAAGAAUAAACAAACAAAUCAACUCUGAAUUCCCAUUAAGAUAAAACUGCGAAAUCACCAUGAAAUGAAGGGAGAUACCGCUGUCACUUCCAGAAGUAAGGAUUAAAGGAUUCCUGUCUCAUCAGAUAAGACUCUGGAUUUUCUUGUCUAGCACUCUUGUAUUAAUCCAUUUUCCAGUUCUAUAUGAAAUGAAUUAUGGCGAGAGCUGCAUAGUAUUUAAAGACAUAAAUCUAUCCUACCAAGUAUUUGAAUUUAAAAUAUACGCAGCCUAAUAUCUUUCAUGCCUGAAAAAAUGGAAGCGAAGUCUCAGGGGGAACAGAGCAAUUACCUAUUUCAGUCAAUGUGUGAAGAUUAGUCAAAUAAAUGGGCUAACAGGCCCACCAGCUGGAAAAAUUAAACUGAAAGCCUACUUCUGAAUAUAUGCAUUAUAUCACCCUUAGCCAGAAUGGCUUUAAUUAUUCUUAAAUAUAGCAGAAGAAUGAGAAAUAGGAAAAUCUUACAGACCUUUUCUCCCACAAUGGAGAAAGAGAUUAAAAAAAAAAAGCCACUGUAAUUUUUAUUGCCUUUAGAUAGAUGGGUAGUCUUCUCAAUCGUGGUAAUCCUUCUUGGUUUCAUACAUCAUCUAUUUUGCCCAAGGAUAUAUUUUUUAAUGCUCAAGAAUUCUGUCACCCACCCAUCAUCUGCCGGGUACGUAAACAGCACUGGACCCAUUCUGCAGGUGGGAAUAAACACUGCUGUGUCAGCUGCAAAGCAUGAUCGCUGGCUGAGCUGUCACUGCCAGCUCCCUGCUCUAUUAGGCCUCUCAGAAAAAGUUCAAGAGACGCAGGGUAAGAUUCAUUUUACCUAGCCUGAGUUGUCUUAAAACUACAAGUCUAGACUAAACUAAUCACAUAGAUUUCUCCCCUGGAUGAAUCAUCCAGCUUCACCCUACCUAUUUUAAGACAAGUUGAAUCACCUUCUGAAAGUGCCCGCUGGAUGCCUAAUUUUUAGAUACCUCGAAUCCAUCCUGUGCAGAGAAACACAAUCAUCUCUAGGUAGUAAACAGUUAAUAAAUGCUAUAAUGGAUCUACCUAGGGCUAAUAACAUAAUGGGCUAACAACAUGAUGUCUUUUAUCUCUUAUUCUUUGAAUGUAAUGACAAAAUACUGAGCUCUUGAUGUUCAUAAUCUCAAAAAACUCUCCUGAAAGAAAACAAACAAAAAGCCACUACAUUUCAACAUAAAAUACUGCACAAAAUACUACUUUGUCAGGCACACCACACAAUAGAAAUGAAAUCUCUCAGUCAAGAUGGUGAGGAAGGGAAAACAAACACAUUGCCAGACUUCACAGCAAGCUUGCCUUCUUCCCUACUUCUAGCUUUUUUACAUAGGUUUCCUCAUCCAUUUUUAAUGAGGGGCUGAAUUUACAUUUGUAUUUUCUCUGUAGUCAUCUGUUAGAUGGGCUCAUCCUUAAAUAUGUGUUGUCUUGAGAACUAGUUUUGCCUGAAACAAUACAGAGGAGUUACUGCAUCGACUACACUUUGAUGCUACAGCUGGACACAAACCUCUGCUGUCCACAGAAACCCGUGUCUACCGUCCACUUAUUCUUGGCAUCCAGUACCGAAGAAGACAGCAGAGCUCAGUACAGAGGUAGCUGUAGGAAUUAAUUGCUUCAGGAUGACACAGAUGACAGAGUUUCCCCUCUGGAAAACUCCCUAGUGAAUUCCCACGUGAGAGCUAAACCCAUUCUAAGCCAUCAGCUUAAAAAUAACAAGUUGGGUUUGGAAAAAAUGUAAUUCUGGGGGGGGGUUAUGUAGCCUCUGUUUUUGACCCUUUAAGGCUGUACAGGACAGGGGCUGAGCUUUCAGAGAAGUUCUCUGCAACCAGCUCCGGGAAUGGAGACCUUAACAAAAUUAGUCAGAGCGAGACUCAGACCUUCAAGACGUGGCAAUACUGCCAAUGUAAAUGGCAGCCUGAAAAGGCUCUGAAACCCAAGAGGCCCAUCUGAGCAGAAUUAUAGACACAGUGCGUCUCUGAUCCCACAGUAACAAGUGCCUUGGAGAAACCAAAGGCACUUAAAACAGUGAGUCAACAGACAGACUGCAUCAAAUUCAAACUGGUGAGUCUAUUUCACAACUGAUUUCACUCUUAUGGGUAAUCCCCAGGGUAAAAAAUUCUCCCUGUUUAAUGCCAAACUGCUACCAAUGGGUUUUAGGGAGGCUGUGCAUAGCUUGGGGAUUUUUCUUUAAGUAUUUUAAAGCCCUGUAUGAUGGAAAGACACAGUGACUAAAACUGAAAGCAUGGGCAUUCUGCACUAUGUGCAAUUGUCAUAGAAAAAUUCAGGGUCUUAGGGUUCACAGCUGGUAAAUGAUGAUCUUCUUUGCAUGAAGAUGCAAGCAUUUAGCAUGCUCCCACUACUGCAACAUUCAUUUUUUGAUUUCAUAAGCAGAGAGAACUGAGGUGGCUUUUUUUCUUCAACCUGUUUCUCUAAAACUCUUCUGAAACCUCUGAGCAGAAAUGUAUUGAGUGGAUGGGCAGAGAUCACAGAAGGACAUCGUGUCUAGUCCCAAAGUGUAGUUUCCCUGCCUUGAGCAAUCAGUCAGCUCUUAGAUGUCUGAGUUGCAAAGAAAACCUUCUGAAUGUGACCUGAUGCGACACUACUACUCUUGAGCCUACCAGCCUGGCGGUGGAGAAAAGAUCAAAGUUUUGGGAACCGCUCCUGUUGAGGACAAGUUAAACGUUAAUAGCAGCAAAUUAUUGCAUUGCUGAUAAUAUUAAUGGAAUAAUCAUUUCUGCAUGGGUAAGGGCAGAGCAGUGGUUAUAGGUGAGCUUGAAUAGAGUUGUACAAAAUUUUUCCAGCCGACCUCUAACCUUAUAUUACCUUCUCUACAUAAACAGCUGACAAAGAUACCGAGGCUCUUGGAUCUUCUCCUGCUUAAGAACUGAAAUCAAGGGAAGAGGUCACAUAAGAAAGGAACUGUUCUACCUUUUGAUGAACUAAUUCCAUCUGAGCAUGUCCAUGCCAGCGCCAGGCUUCUAAAGCGUACUCUCACCGUUAGAAAAAUGGAUAGGGAUACAGUACAUAAUUUGCUGAUAAAGAAGUUACUUAUCUAAGAAAACAGCAAGAAGAGGGUCAAAGAUCCCAAAAUAUUGUAGUGCAAGUUCUAUUAAGAUAUGUAUAGAAGAAAAAGCAAAUAAAGGGUUGU